UCAUUGAUGGUUUGUGGACUUUUGUCCUU
rnacentral:piRNA from 1 species